AGAGAUAACCAAGAUAUCAUCAGAGAUUACCAGGAUACCAUCAGAGAUUACCAGGAUACCAUCAGAGAUGACCAGGAUAUCAUCAGAGAUAAUAUAACCAAGAUAUCAUCAGAGAUGACCAGUUUUAGACUUCUUAAUUUGUCUUCAGAUGUUGCAUCUGUUUUACAUUAAAAAAUCCAACGGUUGAAUUUGAGAGGGGAAGACAGCAAACUUGGUCGGGUACUGGACAUAGCCCUCUCUGUAACCAGCGGUCAAUGAUACCAUAAACAUGAUUAGUAAUGAAUAAUGCCCAACCGUCAACCCGCAUCCUCGAAACAGAUCAAACUGCCUGCCAAUAACAUAUUCCAUUCUACAUCAAACAAGUACAUGUAAGCAUGUACUGUAAUGGAAAAUCACUAAGCUUCUGAAGUGGAAAUCGCAGACAGAAGGGAAACAGAUCUACCCUAUUAAGAGGCAGGCGAGAAAAAUGGGUGAUGUUUGUACAAAAAAAUGUAUCCAACUAAUAUCUGUGUGUGAUAUUUUGGAUAAUGGCCAGUGAAACCACGACAAGUGGUCUGCUUCAAGACUGUAAAAUCAAAACGAAGUUGAAAAACGCAGACGUGACUGGGAAACUUGACUAUAUGAACGCAGGAUAUGAGACAGAUAUUCACGAUUUAACACCAGGGAAUGUGCAAAGCAUGAUCAACAGUAUUUCAUUGCUGGAAAAUAAUCUGUCUUCCUUUGCGCUACAGCUAAAUUCCUACAUAUCGUGCGUAAGAGUGCCGAGACGAACCCCUAGAGGUCGUCCCCAUCUGCCAUUACAGCCUAGUGCUGACAGCGGGAUUUUUGAUAGGCCAGUUUCAGUUCUAGAGCCUGUGAAUAUACCGAAUCCACAAUUUUGAUUUUCCGACACACGCAGCUUUCAAAAAUGAACGUGACCAUAAACAAACGUUUGGCGGAUCCACUGUUUACAAAAACCGACCAAUCCAUCUAUAAAAAAUGUUUCUCUCCGAAGGUUUUCCCUCAAAGGUUCAAGGACAUGAUUACCAUUUUUAUUGUUUUGCAGUGUAUAAAAUCGUGUUAUAGCUUGAGUUCUUGGCUAUAGGAUUUCCCAAAUGUACCAUGUCAUAUUGGGGUUGACUUUUGAUGAAUUGUUGUUGAGACAAAUGUUAGGAGAACUACAUCUGGACGAAGAGUUUAAGUAUACCCAGGCUAUUUGUAGUUCCGUGAAUAUAUAUCAUUCAAUAACCACUGUAUAAUUUAUCAUUAUAUAUAGUAUAUAGUAUAUAUAUAUAUAUAUAUAUAUAUAUCCAAAUUGUGUUUUUAAAAAAAUCACAGUGUCCGGUAUAAAAUAUUAAAAGAAAUAGAAUAAACAGUACACAAAGUUAAAAAUUAUAUGACAUCGUUAUGUACGUGAAAUGUUAGGACGCCUUUAUGACGUCAGACCAUUUCAAAACUAUUUUAAAAUGUAACGCCUGAGGAUUAUAAAAUAUAUAUAUAUACACACAAAGACCAACAACAUAAAUAACCAGGCUGUCAAAUUUUCGGGACUACUAGUCCCUUCUUCAGGACAAACGAAUUUACAUAAUAUGGUUGAUAUUAACAGAGAAUAACAAACAGAAAAAUAAAAAUACACAUAAUACUAAAAUUAGACAAAAUCUACAAACGUAUAUACACCACAGACCAAAUGUUUGGUUUUUUUUUUUUUUGGUUUUUGUUUUUUUUGUUUUUUGUUUUGGCUUGGUAAUCCAUGUUAAUUAUGUAGCGAAUUAGAACAUGUCAUAUUCGUCCAAAGAGCUUAUCCACAACGCCAAUUUAUUUGGAAAAUUAUGAAGAUUUAGAUAUCGCCCACAUUAUGUAAACCUUUUCGUUUGUCCUGAAGAAGGGACAGGUCGUCCCGAAAAUUUGACAACCUGGUUAUUCGUGUUGUUGGUCAUUUUAGUGCUUUGUAUAAUUAUUUUUUUGUAUUUGACCUUGUAUCCACGUUGUGGAUCCGACACUUCUGGAUAUCGGGUGUUGUUGGAUGAUUGAUUACAUAUUGUUUAACGUCCCUCUCGAGAAUUUUUCACUUAUAUGGAGACGUCACCAAUACCGGAAGUUAGUGCUUUUAUAUACAAUAUAGAUAGAUAUUGAAUGAAUGAACGUUAUUUAUAUACUACUCCAACUGUCAGUUAAUUAAACAAAUACAUCUUAUGAAAUUCCUUUAAAUCGAUUUUUUAUGCCAAUCGGAUAUAUACUAAUUCGCAAAUAUAUUUUGGAAACUUGUAUCAAAUAUAAUAUUUGCAAAUGAAACUGCACACGAAUACAACCUGGUUAACACGAUACAAUGUACACAAUUGUUUGAAUGUGCAAUAAAGUAUGUUUUACAGCUGU